GAUGAAGAACGUAGCGAAAUGCGAUAAGUAAUGCGAAUUGCAGAAUUCCAGUGAGUCAUCGAAUCUUUGAACGCACAUUGCGCCCUUUGGUAUUCCGAAGGGCAUGCCUGUUCGAGCGUCAUUAUCACCCCUCAAGCCCUCGGCUUGGUGUUGGACGGUUUGGUGGAGGCCCCCUCGGGGGCUCCUGCCCCUCCCAAAGACAAUGACGGCGGCCUCGUUGGACCCCCGGUACACUGAGUUCUUCACGGGACACGUAUCGGACACAUGGGUUUACGGGACACGGUCUGCCUCCCCUCAGGAGAAUCUUUCUAAGGUUGACCUCGGAUCAGGUAGGGAUACCCGCUGAACUUAAGCAUAUCAAUAAGCGGAGGA
rnacentral:misc_RNA from 1 species